UACGGAGGAUCCGAGCGUUAUCCGGAUUUAUUGGGUUUAAAGGGUGCGCAGGCGGGAGAUUAAGUCGGCGGUGAAAUUUUGCAGCUCAACUGUAAAAGUGCCUUCGAUACUGGCUUUCUUGAGUGUGGAUGAAGUAGGCGGAAUUUGUGGUGUAGCGGUGAAAUGCUUAGAUAUCACUAGGAACUCCGAUUGCGCAGGCAGCUUACUAAACCAUAACUGACGCUCAGGCACGAAGGCGUGGGGAUCAAACAGGAUUAGAUA
rnacentral:rRNA from 1 species